rnacentral:rRNA from 1 species
AGCGAACGCUGGCGGCAGGCUUAACACAUGCAAGUCGAGCGGGCACUUUCGGGUGUCAGCGGCGGACGGGUGAGUAACGCGUGGGAACGUGCCCUCUGGUUCGGAAUAACUCAGGGAAACUUGAGCUAAUACCGGAUACGCCCUUUUGGGGAAAGGCUUGCUGCCGGAGGAUCGGCCCGCGUCUGAUUAGCUAGUUGGUGAGGUAACGGCUCACCAAGGCGACGAUCAGUAGCUGGUCGGAGAGGAUGAUCAGCCACACUGGGACUGAGACACGGCCCAGACUCCUACGGGAGGCAGCAGUGGGGAAUAUUGGACAAUGGGCGCAAGCCUGAUCCAGCCAUGCCGCGUGAGUGAUGAAGGCCUUAGGGUUGUAAAGCUCUUUUAUCCGGGACGAUAAUGACGGUACCGGAGGAAUAAGCCCCGGCUAACUUCGUG